rnacentral:rRNA from 1 species
GACGAACGCUGGCGGCGUGCUUAACACAUGCAAGUCGAACGGAAAGGCCCUGCUUUUGUGGGGUGCUCGAGUGGCGAACGGGUGAGUAACACGUGAGUAACCUGCCCUUGACUUUGGGAUAACUUCAGGAAACUGGGGCUAAUACCGGAUAGGAGCUCCUGCUGCAUGGUGGGGGUUGGAAAGUUUCGGCGGUUGGGGAUGGACUCGAGGCUUAUCAGCUUGUUGGUGGGGUAGUGGCUUACCAAGGCUUUGACGGGUAGCCGGCCUGAGAGGGUGACCGGCGACAUUGGGACUGAGAUACGGCCCAGACGCCUACGGGAGGCAGCAGUCGGGAAUAUUGCACAAUGGGCGGAAGCCUGAUGCAGCAACGCCGCGUGCGGGAUGACGUCCUUCGGGUUGUAAACCGCUUUCGCCGGUGACGAAGCGUGAGUGACGGUAAUGGGUAAAGAAGCACCGGCUAACUACGUG